rnacentral:rRNA from 1 species
CAGCAGCCGCGGUAAUACGUAGGGUGCGAGCGUUAAUCGGAUUACUGGGCGUAAAGCGUGCGCAGGCGGUUCGUUAAGACAGAUGUGAAAUCCCCGGGCUUAACCUGGGAACUGCAUUUGUGACUGGCGAGCUAGAGUAUGGCAGAGGGGGGUAGAAUUCCACGUGUAGCAGUGAAAUGCGUAGAGAUGUGGAGGAAUACCGAUGGCGAAGGCAGCCCCCUUGGCCAAUACUGACGCUCAUGCACGAAAGCGUGGGGAGCAAACAGGAUUAGAUACCCCAGUAGUCCCUGUCUCUUAUACA